rnacentral:lncRNA from 1 species
AUUAAAACGAUUGCCUCUCCAGCCCCUCCUUCUCAGGGCCUUUUUUUCUCACAAAACAAGUGAGCAAAACAAAGAUGAGGAAAACAUGUGAUUCAAGAAAAUAGGGAAUCCAAUGUAGGCAAGAGGCAAAAGAAAACCCCAGGACACACACCUUAGAGCAACUGGUUCAUAUUAGAGCAAGAAGACCCAGGAUCCAGGAAAGAUGUUUUCAAGGAAAAAUAGUCAGAAGGGAGGGUGUAGGGAGAACCUGACAGAGUAUCAGAUAAAUUAACUCUGAGGGAAACUGAGGGAACUGAGCAACUGUAAGAAUGGAAAAACCUAUAAAUCAGUACAAAGAAAACAAAUCCAGCGACAGUCCAGGGAAUUAGUAAAUCCAGGUAAAAUUUACAUGAUAGGAGAAAUGUAAUCAUGGUACACUACUUGGCUCAGACAACAAUGCUGACCAUCAUAAUUUUAUAAAUUCAGAAACGCUGAGCUAACCAAAAGUAAUGGGGAAAGACUGGAGGGUGGCGUAAGCGAGCUAGGUCUUGAGCAGUGAUGAGUAAGAGUGAUGACUCAGCAGAGAGAAGCACACACUUAUUUAGGAAUAUGGAAGUUCUACCAGGAGAAACAAGCCAAAGAGCUGAAAGUAGUUGAAGGAUGGAGACCAGAGCUUCAUUAUAUGAGAGCACAAGCAAGGAGAGCAGCAGGUGGAGUGAGAGAAAGAAG